GAAGCUGAGAAGCGCGGAGGCGAGAUGACUCCGUCUCCCAUCCCACUCAAAGAGCGCUCUGGCGAGCAGUCCGUGGAUCGCUGUAAAGAUACAGGCGCCACCCAGCAGUCCGGCGAGAAGGACCGCGUCAGGGAUAAAGCUCGGAAGCGGCUCAAGGCCUCGGGCGGUAGCAGCAGCUCAGGGGCUCGGUCCCGCGCGGGCUCCAGCCGCGGCUCCAGCUCGCCCUCAGCAUCUGGCCGCUCGGGAUGCUCCAGUGGGUCCCGCAGCUCCAGCUCCAGCAGCUCCCCCCGGCUCUCCGAGGCCUUGGUGUCCCCGAGAUCACAAGCGGCAGUCCGGUUCCAAACCCAAACCACCCGGACAAGACAAGAAGGAAAGGAGACGGCGCAGCCCCGCCCCUAAGCCCACCAAAGUGCACGUAGCAAGGCUCACCCGGAAGGUGACCAGGGAGCACAUCUGGGAGAUAUUCUCCACCUUCGGGAGAGUUAGAGCGAUCGACCUGCCCAGAGAAAGGAUGCGCGCGCAUCCGUCUCAAGGCCACGCCUACGUGGAGUUCAAGAAUCCGGAAGAGGCUGCGAAGGCGCUCAAGCACAUGGAGGGAGAGCAAUCGACGCCCAGCAGAUCACGGCCACAGCCAUGCUGGCCCCCUGGCCCCAGCCACCCCCAGACGACUGAGCCCUCCCCGGAGAAUGCUGCCACCGCCCCCUUGGCACAGGCUGAGGAGGAGCAGGUCGCGUUCCCCUUGGGGCAGGUCCCCCAAGCGCCAGCGACCCCGAUCCCCCCGCCGCCGCCGCCGCCACUGGAGCGGCUUCAGCUCCGUCUCCUGCCGA
rnacentral:lncRNA from 1 species